rnacentral:rRNA from 1 species
UACGGGGGGGGCAAGCGUUGUUCGGAAUUACUGGGCGUAAGGGGUUCGUAGGUGGCCUACUAAGUCAGACGUGAAAUCCCUCAGCUUAACUGGGGAACUGCGUCUGAUACUGGGGGGCUUGAGUGCAGGAGAGGAACGCGGAAUUCCAGGUGUAGCGGUGAAAUGCGUAGAUAUCUGGAGGAACACCGGUGGCGAAGGCGGCAUCCUGGACCAACACUGACGCUGAUGAGCGAAAGCCAGGGGAGCAAACGGG